CAGUGAUAAAAGAAAAUAAGAAGUUACUCCAUGGAGAGCCUUCAGUCAGGCCCACACAAUCUCCAACCUCACUCCUUUCGAGUUUCACAGCCAUUACCAACGCUUUGGUGCGGCAAAGUUCCCUAAGGGUUAUUUUGAAUCCCUUGCCAAUACCAAGCACCCGAAAUGUCCCAAUUAUACAAGUGCAAGCAUGGAAGUGCCAGCCUUGUGCAUCAGAGUCCCAUGGGUGCUCAAGGCACCCAAGGCAGAGCUUACACUAAUGGGGAAGAACCUAAAGCUCUAAGAAUGAGAUUGUGUUUGGAAUAGAGAAAGCUAAAAAUAGUUGAGAGACAGUCUAAGAAAACAGUUGAAAGAGUUGAGAGAGUUAAGAAGAGAGUUGAAAAGUUGAGACAGUUUAAGAAAAAAUAGUUGAAAAAGUUGAGACAGUUCUUCUGAAAUCAUUUCGACUGACCAGUUUUAGAACAACAGGGAAUCACACAAACAGGGGGGCAAAGGGAAAAGGGGACAAACAAGUAAAGUGAACUACUCACACACAGACAACAUAUUGGAGGAAAAAUAUUCAGACAUGGUUGCAAACAAGAGAUUAGCUCUUACUACACCAAACUCUAACACACUUAGCCUCAAACAGGGGUUUUAGUUUAACAAAGUAGCCAAGAAGACAUGGAUGCAUGGUAGUAGCACACAGGGAAAAAGUAAACAUUCAUUGAGACAGGGGGAGGGGGGGUAAGAGAGCAAAUAAUUAGAGAGCAAACAAGUAAAGUUUACAAACAACAUGUUGGGGGAAAGUAAUCAAGCAUGGUUGUAAAACAAGGGUUUAGUUUUUACUGCACCAAAAUCCCAAAUAUAAUCAACCUCAGGGAGAAGUUUCAGGGCUGCCUAGUAGCCAAACAGUAGUGCACAUGGAAGAGGAAAACAAACAUUGAGACAAGGAAAGGGGGAUAGGGGAAAAUAUGCUAAGUUAAACUAGUAGACUAACAAUUGCAUGCUAGUGGCAAUAAUAGCAACUGAACCAUAGGUGAAAGCACACAAGAAAUAAUAUGAAUUGCAAAACUAAUAGGAGCAUGUUGUUUUGGAGGCUUUAUCUUAAUAGGUGACAUAACAGUUGCAGGUAAUAGGAUACAAUAGCAAUGCAAUAGUGCAUAAAGGGAGAGCAAAGUGUGCAAAGAAUGAGAGCAGCAGUGUGAGUAACAGCAGUAUGAGAAUAGUAGCAGCAACACACCCAAUGUAGACGGACAAAUAGAACCCAAUAGUGUAAAGUAAUCAACUCAGGUUACUCAAUUUUGGAUAUUAGACGAUUGAGUGUUCAAAGAAAAGAAUGAGAGACUAUAGUAAUAGCAGAGAAAAAGAGAAUUCAGAGAGUUUGAGAUUGUGAGAGCAGUGUGUG
rnacentral:lncRNA from 1 species